UACGGGGGGUGCAAGCGUUAAUCGGAAUUACUGGGCGUAAAGCGUGCGCAGGCGGUUUGUUAAGUCUGUUGUGAAAUCCCCGAGCUCAACUUGGGAAUUGCAAUGGAUACUGGCAGGCUGGAGUAUGGUAGAGGAAGGUGGAAUUCCCGGUGUAGCAGUGAAAUGCGUAGAGAUCGGGAGGAACACCAGUGGCGAAGGCGGCCUUCUGGACCAAUACUGACGCUCAUGCACGAAAGCGUGGGGAGCAAACAGG
rnacentral:rRNA from 1 species